GAAUCCCCACGAUUCCUGCCCCGGCCAACCGCCCCCCACGUUUUGCAAUGGUCUCGCAUACGUCUACUACUAUCUUCCUUGACUCCAGUUUGGAAUUCACCUGAUGGAUAUGCACAUAUCAGCCGGGAAAUUAGUAAGCUGUAAAUGGAGUUCUACCCCAGCCACGUCGUAGAGGAUUGAUCCAACGACUUCAAGAUCUUUAGACGAGUCCUGUUGCAUGGUGCAUAUGUCUGGUGUCCUACAAGGUAUAGUUUGAGAAACAUAUUCAAGGGAAAUUCUUCUCAUAAGGUUAUAGUUCUAAAUCCGGUUUCUCAACGACACAUUAAUGCUUUGUGGCAUACAAAUCUCAAACUAAAUGAAGAUGAUUUGGUAAUGAAAUUUGUAGAAAUGUUGAAAAAUACUCAUCAUAACAAUAUAACAAUGUAACCUUUUUAUUUUCCUUUUUAGUAUACUACUAUAAUGUACCUGAGAGAAAA